GCGACCACUCAGCGCGGUGACGGAAAGUGCCACAGAAAAUAUACCGCCGCGCGUGAGCGCGGUAAGGGUGAAAAGGUGCGGUAAGAGCGCACCGCGCCGCUGGCAACAGGGGCGGCAUGGUAAACCCCACCGGGAGCAAGGCCAAAUAGGGACAACAGGCCGCAUUGCGGCAGGCGGGUUUCCGCGCCGGUUGUCCGGGUCGGCUGCAUGAGGCAUACGGUAACGUAUGUCCCAGAUGAAUGGUCAUCAUCCGCAUCGCGCGGAUACAGAACCCGGCUUACAGGCCGUCUGACAAU
rnacentral:RNase_P_RNA from 1 species